AAAAAAACAUUCUUCCACUGCUCUAAGAACCAUUUAUGUAGGUUUUUACUCAACUCUAAACGCUUUGCAACGUUUGUUUUUGAAAGUAGUGGUUUUCUAAUUGUAGCCCUCCCGUGAAAUCCGGCUUUGUGCAGCUCCCGGCGAACAAUUUUUGUGGA